rnacentral:rRNA from 1 species
GACGAACCGUGCGAACGUUGUUCGGAAUCACUGGGUUUAAAGGGCGCGUAGGCGGGCUGUCAAGUCGGUGGUGAAAUCUCCACGCUCAACGUGGAGGGGCCAUUCGAAACUGCCGUGACUCGAGUCCGGUAGGGGAGUGUGGAAUUCCCGGUGUAGCGGUGAAAUGCGCAGAUAUCGGGAGGAACACCAGUAGCGAAGGCGGCACUCUGGGCCGGUACUGACGCUG